rnacentral:lncRNA from 1 species
CAUCUUCUGAAACCUUUGAUCCAGGAGAUCCUCUCGACUGCGAGUCUCGAGGAUCUUCUAGCAGAACGGAGGUAGGGACCCUCCGGGGGUGGAAUCAUGAUCGGACAGAGGGCUCUCCGCCCUCUGCUUCCCCUUUUCAGGGAAGAUAGGGCGACUAGCCCAAGUGGGCCACCCGAUCACCAAAUUCUGAAACUCCAGUGAUGCUCUUUCCAGCCACACAGAUGCCUGCGGUUGCUGCGGCUACUGCUGCAUGGCCUGCA